rnacentral:ncRNA from 1 species
CACGUGAAUAUUUAGCCAAUUUUUAUUUCGAAAAUGGAAUCUCCAGGGUCGAAUAUGUGUCUACCUAAAGCUAUAGGAAAAUUUAAAGUGGGAACUAAAAGGAAUUCCCUUGUAAGGCUAAAUAUCGACUCGAUUGCAAUAGCGAGUACCGUGAGGGAAAGUUGCAAAGGACUUUGAAGAGAGAGUUCAAGAGAACGUGAAAUCGCUGGAGUGGAACCGGAGACAGUUGAUGUCGCUUGGAGACAAGCUUGGUGACUGGUCGCUUAGUUGUGAUAGUUGCCGGGUGUCGUCUCCUAUCCAACGCCGACGGCGUUGGCUGCUCGUUCUGGCCCGAUAAUGUUGCCCAGCUCGCAAGAGUCGGUGUCUUGUUGUCGGUAGUUAGUUCGUGGCGGCUAGCGUUUAGUUACACUAGUGUAGUGGGCCAUUUUUGGUAAGCAGAACUGGCGCUGUGGGGUGAACCAAACAGGGAGUUAAGGUGCCUAACUUCUCGCUCAUGAGACCCCAUAAAAGGUGUUGGUUGAUAUUGACAGCAGGACGGUGGCCAUGGAAGUCGGUACCCGCUAAGGAGUGUGUAACAACUCACCUGCCGAAUCAACUAGCCCUGAAAAUGAAUGGCGCUUAAGCGAGAGACCUAUACUCCACCGUUGCGACACGUGCGUUGUCUAGCGCCAGGUCGUAACGAGUAGGAAGGUCAUGGCGGUUGCGUUGAAGGCUAUGAGCGUGAGCUCGGCUGGAGCUUCCCUUAGUGCAGAUCGUAAUGGUAGUAGCAAAUAUUCAAGUUCGAUCCUUGAAGACUGAAGUGGAGAAGGGUUCCACGUGAACAGUAGUUGGAUGUGGGUCAGUCGAUCGUAAGGUACUGGCAAACGCCUUGUAUCAUCGGUGGCGAAAAGUUUGCUUUUGAUCCCCGUUUGUCGAAAGGGAAUAGGGUUAAUAUUUCCUAACUGAGAUGCAAAGAUUGUGUUCUUCGGAGCACAAGCGCGGUAACGCAUUCGAACUUGGUUACUCGCUCAAAGACCGAGCUAGAUUCUUCUCUAGUUAAGGGACGGACUCCCUGGAAUUGGUUCAGCCAGAGAUGGGGACGUUGUUUCCGAAAAGCACCGCGGGUUCUGUGGUGUCUCGUGCUCUUUGAACGACCCUUAAAACACCAAGGAAGGCUAUUAAUUUGCACUCAAUCGUACCGAUAUCCGCAUUAGGUCUCCAAGGUGAACAGCCUCUAGUC